GACGAACAUGUUAUUUAAGAAUAAUCUAGUAUAUAGUAAUCUAAUAUGAUCAUAUUUUGUUAUGUGUAUGAUUGAAGGGAAUAUUUUGAAAAUAGCAGUUUUAUGAAAAAUGAAUAAUUAUUUAUCUGAUGAAAUGGUAGAUUAAUUUAAAAUACUUAUUUUAUAUGCAUUUAAGCAUAUAGAAGUAGUAGAUAUAAGAAAAAUCAUAUUAGAAAAAGCAUUUGGUAAAUAUUAUAUGACUAGAAUAAAUUACAUACCACAAAUACCUAAUUACACUUACAAACACAUAUAUACCAAA
rnacentral:lncRNA from 1 species